UGUCCCCGGCUCCGGGCGAUGGUGGAGCCGGUGUGAGCGGCGCCGGGGCUGCAGCCGGCUGCGGCCCCCCCUGGCCCCCAGCCCCGGGGGGGUGCCCGGGCCCCGCCAUGCCCGCCGGCAGCAACGAGCCCGACGGCAUCCUCAGCUACCAGAGACAUGACGAAGAGGCAGUGAUUGACCAGGGAAGAACGAGCAACGUUGUCAACAUUCACUAUGAGAAGGAGGAGCUGGAAGGCCACCGGACCCUGUAUGUGGGGGUGCGGAUGCCGCUGGUGCGGCAGAGCCACCGGCACCACCGGCCCCACAGCCGCAAGGAUCGGAAACGGGAACGGGAGAAGGACUCUGCCCCGACGGAGCAGGGCUACCACUACACCCCAUCCCAGCGGGUGCAGUUCAUCCUUGGGACUGAGGAGGACGAGCAGCACGUCCCCCAUGACUUGUUCACCGAGCUGGAUGAGAUCUGCCUGAAAGACGGCAAAGAUGCCGAGUGGAAGGAGACAGCAAGGUGGCUGAAGUUUGAGGAGGACGUAGAAGACGGCGGCGAGCGCUGGAGCAAGCCCUACGUGGCCACAUUGUCCUUGCACAGCCUCUUUGAGCUGAGGAGCUGCCUCAUCAAUGGGAUGGUGCUGCUGGAUGUUUGUGCCAACAGCAUGGAAGAGAUCGCAGACAUGAUCCUGGGCCAGCAGGAGCAGCCCGCGGAGCUGGAGGAGCGCACGAGGGCCCAAGUGCGAGAGGUGCUCCUGAAGAAGCAUCACCACCAGAACGAGAAGAAACGAAACAACCUUCUCCCCAUCGUCCGCUCCUUCGCCGACGGGAGCAAGAAGCAGUCGGAGCUGCACCUCCUCGACAAGCCAGCCCAAACACUCAGCCCUCAUCCUUCUCCCACCACUGCAGAAGCUAAGAAUGGUGUGACCCACGAGACCAGCACAAUGGACUUAAGCAAGGCGGAGCUGCACUUCCUGAAGAAGAUUCCCACUGGGGCUGAAGCAUCCAACGUGCUGGUGGGAGAGCUGGACUUCCUUCCCCAGCCCAUCGUGGCAUUUGUCCGCCUCACCCCGGCUGUCCUCCUCUCGGGCAUGACAGAAGUUCCCAUCCCAACAAGGUUCCUGUUUGUUUUGCUUGGACCAGGAGGAAAAGCCCAUCGGUACCAUGAGAUCGGCAGGUCCAUGGCUACUAUCAUGACAGAUGAGGUUUUCCAUGAUGUUGCAUACAAAGCCAAGGACCGGGCUGACCUCGUGGCCGGCAUCGAUGAGUUCCUCGACCAGGUCACGGUGCUGCCACCGGGAGAGUGGGAUCCAUCGAUCCGAAUCGAGCCCCCGAAAAGCGUCCCCUCACAGGAGAAAAGGAAGAUGCCAGGAGCACUUGAGGACAGCACUUCUCACAGUAAGCCGGAGAAGCACAGUGGUCCUGAACUGGAGCGGACGGGAAGGCUCUUUGGAGGUUUGAUCCUGGAUGUGAAGCGGAAAGCCCCGUGGUUCUGGAGUGACUUUCGGGAUGGUGUGAGCCUGCAGUGCCUGGCAUCCUUCCUCUUCCUCUACUGUGCCUGCAUGUCCCCCGUCAUCACCUUUGGGGGACUGCUGGGGGAAGCGACCAAAGGCCACAUAAGCGCCAUGGAGUCGCUGCUGGGUGCAUCCAUGACUGGCGUGGUGUAUUCCCUCUUUGCUGGCCAACCUCUCACCAUCCUCGGCAGCACCGGACCCGUCCUUGUGUUUGAGAAGAUCCUCUACAAGUUCUGCAGGGAGCACGCGCUCUCGUACCUCUCGCUGCGGGCAUGCAUCGGGCUGUGGACCGCCUUCUUCUGCGUCGUGCUGGUGGCCACCGACGCCAGCUCUCUGGUGUGCUACAUCACCCGCUUCACCGAGGAAGCCUUCGCCUCCCUCAUCUGCAUCAUCUUCAUCUACGAGGCUCUCGAGAAGCUGAGUCACCUGCGAGAGACCUACCCUGUGCACAUGCACAGCAAGCUCGACCUCCUCACCAUCUACUACUGUAAGUGUGAGGCCCCGACCCACCCCAGCAAUGAAACCCGGCGCUUCUGGGAGAGCAACAAGAUCAACGUGUCUGGCAUCGCCUGGGAGAACCUGACGGUGACUGUAAGUGCCCUGAGCCACUGCUCCCUCGUGCUGCAGCCACGAGGUCCAGGAGCAUCCGCUUGGUUGCCCAAGUCAGAGCCCUUCAGGUGAUGAUGGGCUUCAGCCUGUGCUGGUGCUGCUCCGCUUCAAUGGAAUGAGUGGAUUUAACUCGCUUGGUCCUGGGAAGGAGAAUCCCCCUUAUCCAGCCCACCUUGUCCCCAGCAUUGUGGGGAGUAACCAUCCUCCUCAACCUGGUUGCAGAACAAUGUUUCUGACCAGGAGCAAGGUUUAAUGGGUGGUUUGAGUGCUGCAGCAGUCAGAGGGCUUGAGUUCAUGCUUAAGGUGGUAACUGGCUUCCUCAUCUGGUUCCUAGGAACUCCAGGCCUUGCUUCCCCAUUCAGUGCUCUCUGCAGGCACAUGCAGAAACUGGAGCACCUGAGCCACCUCUCGGGCUGUUGCUGCCUGAAGCAGAGCCCAGGCACAUGGUGGGAGGCUCUUAUGGGCAUCUCCAUCCCCUCCUGGCAAGGUUUUGCCAGCCCCACACUGGGAAGCGACAGUUUGUCUCUUCUCCAUUGAUAGCGUGGUUGUCUUGGCCUGCCUGCCUUGUUCCCUCUUUCUCUAUCCCCAAGAGUGUCCAGGUUUCCUUCCCCUCUGUUGUCUUCCUCAGCCACAGUUACCUGCCAUUCAAGUGGAGGAUGUGCCAUGGGUCUUGCGGUAUGGUGUCCCACCAAAGCCCACCUCUCUGCUCUCCUCUGUGCAGUUCAAUGUGCCACUUGUUUGGCUGCUGCUGCUCCUUAAAUCUAAACCUCCGUCAGCAGCAGUCACAAGAUCGUGGAUCUUGGACCAAGAUCCUCAACACUCCCCAGUUCUCCAAGGUUUCCUUGCUGCACGUGCCCUGCCUUUGUGUCCUGAUGCUCUGUUUCCCCAGGAAUGUCGCUAUGUGCACGGAGAGUUUCAAGGACCCGCAUGUGGACGCAACGGCCCCUACACGCCUAAUGUCCUCUUCUGGUGCUGCAUCCUCUUCUUCUCCACCUUUGUCCUGUCGAGCUUGUUGAAGAAGUUUAAAACCAGCCGUUACUUCCCAACCAGAGUACGCUCCACAGUAAGUGACUUUGCUGUCUUCCUCGCCAUCGUCAUCAUGGUGCUCAUUGACUUCAUGGUUGGGAUCCCAUCACCCAAGCUCCACGUCCCCCAUAUGUUCAAGCCCACCAGAGAUGACCGUGGGUGGCUCAUCAACCCCAUAGGACCCAACCCUUGGUGGACGGUGUUGGCUGCGCUCAUCCCAGCUCUGCUCUGCACCAUCCUGAUAUUCAUGGACCAGCAGAUCACUGCCGUUAUCGUGAACAGGAAGGAGCACAGGCUGAAGAAAGGAUGCGGGUACCACCUGGACCUUUUCAUGGUGGCCGUGAUGCUGGGGGUGUGCUCCGUGAUGGGCCUGCCCUGGUUUGUGGCUGCGACCGUCCUGUCCAUCACCCACGUGAACAGCCUCAAAGUGGAGUCUGACUGCUCAGCUCCGGGAGAACAACCCAAGUUUCUGGGGAUACGAGAGCAGAGAGUCACUGGCUUGAUGAUCUUCGUGCUCAUGGGCUGCUCUGUCUUCUUCACGUCUGCCUUGAAGUUCAUACCAAUGCCUGUGCUUUACGGUGUCUUUCUCUACAUGGGGGUGUCGUCGCUCAGAGGAAUUCAGUUCUUUGACCGCUUGAAGCUCUUCUGGAUGCCAGCAAAGCACCAGCCGGAUUUCAUCUACCUGCGGCACGUCCCCUUGCGAAAGGUGCAUUUCUUCACCUUGAUCCAGCUCAUCUGCCUCGUCCUGCUCUGGGCCAUCAAGGUGUCCCGUGCUGCCAUCAUCUUCCCCAUGAUGGUUUUGGCGCUCGUCUUUGUCCGGAAGGUGAUGGAUUUCUGCUUCUCGAAGCGAGAGCUCAGCUUUCUGGAUGACCUCAUGCCAGAAAGCAAGAAGAAGAGGUUGGACGAUGCCAAAAAUGAAGCCAAAGAAGAAGAGGAGUCCCGCAAGAUGAUGGAAGCUGCUGCUGCAAAUUCAGUUCAGCUGCAUCUGCUGGGGAAGAGCAGCAAGUUGGAUGUCCCAAAGCAAAGCAGCGACAGGGCUGACCCUUCCGAGAUUAACAUCUCGGAUGAGAUGCCGAAGACGGCCGUGUGGAAAGCUCUCACCAUGGACACAGAAACGCUCUGAAGGUGGCUUGGAAACAGGAGCCUGGAUUUGGAAGGGGAGGAGUGAGAAUGUGACUCAGGGAUGUGCCAACGCAGACACGGGGAGAAACCGCUUCUUCCAGCUGGAGGGUUCCCAUUGAAGCCACGUGGAUGGGGUUGGGUCACGCUUGGUGUGCUCCAGGCACUCGGUGUCUCCCGACCAGCAGACCGAGGUGCCCAUCACAGCCCAUGGGAGUUGGGUGUUGUCAAGCCUCCGUGUACACGUGUGUGGUGUUGCGGUUCCGAGGGGCCCUGCUGCCCCUCUCUGUUCAGUGCUACUUUUAUACUAUCUAAUUCCUCCAUUCCUUUCUUUUUUGUUUUCCAGAUAUAAACUCUGAAUGUACAAACCCA